rnacentral:rRNA from 1 species
AUUGAACGCUGGCGGCAGGCUUAACACAUGCAAGUCGAGCGGGGGAAGGUAGCUUGCUACCGGACCUAGCGGCGGACGGGUGAGUAAUGCUUAGGAAUCUGCCUAUUAGUGGGGGACAACAUCUCGAAAGGGAUGCUAAUACCGCAUACGUCCUACGGGAGAAAGCAGGGGAUCUUCGGACCUUGCGCUAAUAGAUGAGCCUAAGUCGGAUUAGCUAGUUGGUGGGGUAAAGGCCUACCAAGGCGACGAUCUGUAGCGGGUCUGAGAGGAUGAUCCGCCACGCUGGGACUGGGACACGGCCCAGACUCCUGCGGGAGGCAGCAGUGGGGAAUAUUGGACAAUGGGGGGAACCCUGAUCCAGCCAUGCCGCGUGUGUGAAGAAGGCCUUAUGGUUGUAAAGCACUUUAAGCGAGGAGGAGGCUACUUUAGUUAAUACCUAGAGAUAGUGGACGUUACUCGCAGAAUAAGCACCGGCUAACUCUGUGCCAGCAGCCGCCGUAA